GAACAGAUUUAACCUCUCCGUAUUUCGAGUUGUUUUGACAGUCUCUUCAGUUUCUGUGAGGUAGUCAACUCUUACCCAUAGUCAACUCUGCCAUGAAGUCAUUGGAGCGCCCACAAUGAUAACAGUGUGAAGCCCAUGGACUUAAGAUAACCAGUGUCCUUUGUGGCAGAUGUGACUCUCCGGUUAAUGAACUCACCACAGUCCAUCUACACAGAUUCAUAAAUAACAGGAAACUGUGAAUAUGUCCUAACAUCACCUGACAUGUUUAAUGAGUUGUAGCCAACUGGUCUGUUGCCACAAUAUUCAUCUGGAAAUGUUCUGAAAUA